ACAGUUGCAAGGCUUAUUUAUCUCAACAACUUCCUUGCUUUGAGCAGAUUUUGAACUUCAGCAGUUAUCCAAAAUUUCCAGCCGUUGAGGCAGUAAUUUCAACAAGAUUUUACAAGAGAAGUUUCUGUUUUAUAUCUAAGGGAAAUGAUGCCUUCCUCUCAACAUUCUCCUUGACUUGUGAGUUACAGACAUAGUAUUUCGAAUCAUUGCUAAAAGCAUCUGCCUAAUUGUGGUCCUUCUCCAAUCUGUAGAUCUAAAAUUUGCUCAAUUACUAAUUUUAAGUUCCCUUUGUAAGUAAGAUAUCCUGGAAGAGGCAGUAUAGCAGCCAUUCCUUGCCGAAUUUCAUGCUUUACUGGUGACAUGAGUAGGUGGGAGUGUUGAGACUACCUUACAGUUAUGAAAUGAUCAUUUAUAUAUAAAAUGGAGUUUUGUAUUUCUCUGGCAAAAAAGUUGUAAGGUGAAAUAGGACCAAGUGGAUCAUAGCAUUGUGAAGGCUCUUAGAGGCUUGCAGACAAUUUUGUUUUUAUCACUUAAACACCGCCCCCCGUCCUUCUCUCGAGAUCGAUCGAUCGAGAGAGCCAGCUGAGCGGAUGUGUUGCUUGCUUAUUUCUGGGAAAAGCUAUAGUAAAUGUUGCAGAAUAGUUUAUUAACUUCUCUGCUCCUUCAUCCAGUGGUUCUGAUAGAACUCUGUGCAAUCACUGCAAAGGAAGAGAAGCUGAACUUUAUUGCAGAUCCGUAACUAAUGUGGCUGAACUAGAGAAGCUUUUUGGGAGGCUAUGGACACAAUGCCAAGAAUGCCAAGGCUCUCUCCAUCAGGAUGUCCUAUGCACUAGUCGGGACUGCCCAAUAUUUUAUCGGAGGAAGAAGGCCCAGAAAGACAUGGCUGAAGCCAAACUUCAAUUGGAUCGGUGGAACUUUUAAACUUCAAUGCGGGAAUCUUCAUUGCUGCAAGUUCAACCUGUCAUUUAACAAAGUAUCAUAAUUUUCUCAUUCUCUCAUUUUCUGGUGUGGAGAGUAGCAGAAAGUUCGAAAUGAUUUGAAUAGCUGAGACUAUUACGUACUCUGGAGAUAUAGCAAAUGCUUCGAAAGGAUGUGUCAUGGUCGUUCAGGAGCUGUUUUGCUGAAGUAUGAACGUAUUUAGAGUCAAUAUGAGGCUUCCUCAAAUCUAAGAACUGCUAUUAUACACGAAAAUUGUCAGGCUGGAGGAGUUUAAACUUCAAAUCGUUUCAAGGAUGGGAUUCAGACAAACUUUUGUAGCUCCCAGCAACUGGCUAGUGUAAAAUUUUAGUAUUGAUUUAGAGGUGUUCAUGAGAUUAGAUGACUGGAGAAAUUGAGAUUUUAGAUUAUGUUAUCUGUACAGGUGUUUCUGUAGGUAUGUACAAGUGUUUUGGAGUUGCCAUUUACUAGUAACAGUUCACUGCAAGUGCAACACUAAAAUUCUUGGCAUAGUAAGCAUGACGUAAUGUAAGCCAAGGUUCCAAAAAUAGAUGUUGCAAUCAGCCUUGUUUGAUCUCUCGCUGCAUA